rnacentral:rRNA from 1 species
AUUGAACGCUGGCGGCAUGCCUUACACAUGCAAGUCGAACGGCAGCACGGGAGCAAUCCUGGUGGCGAGUGGCGAACGGGUGAGUAAUAUAUCGGAACGUGCCCAGUCGUGGGGAUAACGUAGCGAAAGCUACGCUAAUACCGCAUACGAUCUAUGGAUGAAAGCGGGGGAUCGCAAGACCUCGCGCGAUUGGAGCGGCCGAUAUCAGAUUAGGUAGUUGGUGAGGUAAAGGCUCGCCAAGCCGACGAUCUGUAGCUGGUCUGAGAGGACGACCAG